GGAAUUAUAGCUCAGUUGGUUAGAGCGCUGCCCUGUCACGGCAGAGGUCGCGAGUUCGAGUCUCGUUGAUUCCGCCA
rnacentral:tRNA from 2 species